AGCAGCUCAACUGCAGCUUUAAAAAAAGGUUGCGGGGGAGGGGCUGGAAAGCAGAAGGGUCUCAUUUCCACCCUGCUGGAGCUGGACACUGAAUGACUCAGCAAGUAAUGGUGCUUGCCACUAUGCCUGAAGACCUGAGUCUGAGCGACCCCACCCCCAGUUGUGUUCUGACCCCCCUCACUUGAGCUACCUCUGGAAAGCACACUACUCCUUCUUCAAAUAUGAAUGGGGUGGCUUUGAACUUUGAUCUUCCAGCUUUGGCCUCCGCAUCUCCGCUCAUUGUGUCUGCUCUGAUGAUCUUGUUUAAACGGUGACUGCCAGGAUGAAAUUCUGUGAAAGUGUUUGCUGGACAAACUUUUAACAAUCUAAUACAUGUCCUCCACAUUUCCCAUUCACCCCGUAAUGCUGUCACAAGGGCCGCAAUUGAGAGUGAGAGCCUGUGCGUUGUUGACACAGUAGAGAUCAAAGCAUGCAUCUCUGAAAGAUUCCUUGUGGACCCCCAAAUUUGAGCUCGUGCCUUUGGGGUACUCCCUGAAACACCACCAUCCAUGUGAACGUAGAGCACUUCUCCACUGACCAAAGACCAGGCUGGACUCAGGCUGCAGAGACCGCAGCUCUAACUCAAGGUUCUCCCAUGGGGCCAGAAGGCUUGGCAUCACUUAGAGCUCAGCUGCAUUUGUCAAUGCGUCCCCAACGUCUGUUAAUUUCUCAGUUCCUUUAUGUUUAUCUGCUUUAGCACAUUUCCUCAAAUUUUCUACCUUACUUUUGGCAGGAUGCGAGUGAGAUUUUAUUUUAAAAGAAGUUGUUCGUAAGUCUCCCAUAAACUCUUAAGAAUUCUAAACCAGAGAGGGUUUGACUCAAAGCAGCUCUCUCCUUGGCUCUGUGUAGACGCAGGCCUGCUGGUACCACAGGUUAGGAAAGAGGAGCUGCUGGAUUCCUGCUGCUGCUUAUAAGGCCUGCAAACACUGAGUCAGCCAGAGGGGAAUCCAUCAUUGUGGGUCACAGAAAAAUUCCUGAGGUUUGUUUUUAGUGAAGUUCUCGUCAUUUCAUUAACAAGUUUAUUAUUGCUUUUCAAA
rnacentral:lncRNA from 1 species